AUCUAGGGCCAUACCACCCUGAACGCGCCCAAUCUCAUCUGAUCUCAGAAGCUAAGCAGGGUUGGGCCUGGUUAUUACUUGGAUUAGAGACCGCCUGGGAACACCAGGUGCCCGUAGGCU
rnacentral:rRNA from 1 species